GGACCGGAGUGGACGCAUCACUGGUGUUCGGGUUGUCAUGCCAAUGGCACUGCCCGGUAGCUAAAUGCGGAAGAGAUAAGUGCUGAAAGCAUCUAAGCACGAAACUUGCCCCGAGAUGAGUUCUCCCUGACCCUUUAAGGGUCCUGAAGGAACGUUGAAGACGACGACGUUGAUAGGCCGGGUGUGUAAGCGCAGCGAUGCGUUGAGCUAACCGGUACUAAUGAACCGUGAGGCUUAACCUUACAACGCCGAAGCUGUU
rnacentral:rRNA from 1 species